GUUAGUGGCGACGGGUGAGUAACACGUGGGCAAUCUGCCCUGCACUCUGGGACAAGCCCUGGAAACGGGGUCUAAUACCGGAUAAUACUGUGCCCCUCAUGGGGGAUGGUUGAAAGCUCCGGCGGUGCAGGAUGAGCCCGCGGCCUAUCAGCUUGUUGGUGGGGUGAUGGCCUACCAAGGCGACGACGGGUAGCCGGCCUGAGAGGGCGACCGGCCACACUGGGACUGAGACACGGCCCAGACUCCUACGGGAGGCAGCAGUGGGGAAUAUUGCACAAUGGGCGAAAGCCUGAUGCAGCGACGCCGCGUGAGGGAUGACGGCCUUCGGGUUGUAAACCUCUUUCAGCAGGGAAGAAGCGAGAGUGACGGUACCUGCAGAAGAAGCGCCGGCUAACUACGUGCCAGCAGCCGCGGUAAUACGUAGGGCGCAAGCGUUGUCCGGAAUUAUUGGGCGUAAAGAGCUCGUAGGCGGUUUGUCACGUCGGGUGUGAAAGCCCGGGGCUUAACCCCGGGUCUGCAUUCGAUACGGGCAGACUAGAGUGUGGUAGGGGAGAUCGGAAUUCCUGGUGUAGCGGUGAAAUGCGCAGAUAUCAGGAGGAACACCGGUGGCGAAGGCGGAUCUCUGGGCCAUUACUGACGCUGAGGAGCGAAAGCGUGGGGAGCGAACAGGAUUAGAUACCCUGGUAGUCCACGCCGUAAACGUUGGGAACUAGGUGUUGGCGACAUUCCACGUCGUCGGUGCCGCAGCUAACGCAUUAAGUUCCCCGCCUGGGGGAGUACGGGUGGCAAGGGCUAAAACUCAAAAGGAAUUGACCGGGGGGCCUCGCCACCAAGUCAGU
rnacentral:rRNA from 1 species